rnacentral:rRNA from 1 species
CUCAGAUUGAACGCUAGCGGGAUGCCUUACACAUGCAAGUCGAACGGCAGCACGGACUUCGGUCUGGUGGCGAGUGGCGAACGGGUGAGUAAUGUAUCGGAACGUGCCUAGUAGCGGGGGAUAACUACGCGAAAGCGUAGCUAAUACCGCAUACGCCCUACGGGGGAAAGCAGGGGAUCGCAAGACCUUGCACUAUUAGAGCGGCCGAUAUCGGAUUAGCUAGUUGGUGGGGUAACGGCUCACCAAGGCGACGAUCCGUAGCUGGUUUGAGAGGACGACCAGCCACACUGGGACUGAGACACGGCCCAGACUCCUACGGGAGGCAGCAGUGGGGAAUUUUGGACAAUGGGGGAAACCCUGAUCCAGCCAUCCCGCGUGUGCGAUGAAGGCCUUCGGGUUGUAAAGCACUUUUGGCAGGAAAGAAACGUCAUGGGUUAAUACCCCGUGAAACUGACGGUACCUGCAGAAUAAGCACCGGCUAACUACGUGCCAGCAGCCGCGGUAAUACGUAGGGUGCAAGCGUUAAUCGGAAUUACUGGGCGUAAAGCGUGCGCAGGCGGUUCGGAAAGAAAGAUGUGAAAUCCCAGAGCUUAACUUUGGAACUGCAUUUUUAACUACCGAGCUAGAGUGUGUCAGAGGGAGGUGGAAUUCCGCGUGUAG